UUCAAUUGCACUGUACAAAUGAAUAGUAUUUGGACCCGAAUUUCACUUUAUUUACGAGGCUGCCACUGACUCUCUCUGGUGUUGAUGAUCGCGGAAAGGCAGGGGUGCGAUGGUCAUUUUAGUCUGUAGGGUUUCGAACGGGUUGGGUGGGUUAGAGACUUUCAUUUCCUUUCUUUCUAAGCUGCAGUGGGACUCGGUGAGAGCAUGCCGUCGGGAGAGAGAGCGAGCGAGCAGAGAGAGAAGAGAGACAGGGAGGGAGAGGGAGACAGCGCGAAAGGGAGAGUGGGAGGAGUAAGGAUCGCUUGCUGAGGGUUUCGCAAUUGGGAGGCCAUGCUGAUGGAGAUAGAGAUAGAGAUAGGAGAGGGAGAGAGGGAGACAGAGGCAGAGCGACAGAGAGAGAAGGAAAGGGAAGAGUGGGGAUCUCAGCGCCAUUGCUGCAGAUCCUUGAUCUUCUUCGAUCCCAUCUUCGUGUUCUUCUCAGCCUCUCACAGUCGCAACAUCGCUCGCCCACUCACUCACUCACUCACUACAGAAAUUCUGAGAUGGUAAAGGUUACGGAAAAAUUGGAAGGUAUAUAGAAAUUCCAGUGUGAGUUCUCCGGCCGAUUUGAGGACAUACUGGCGCACCAACGCUUCCAUUUUCCGGCAAAACAUCACCACAGAACCACUACCACUCACUCCGUUCUGCUCAGGACACACAAGCGAAGGCCUUUCACUGUGCAGUGGCUCCUGCCACUGUUCAUCGGCUUCUCUUACGAGACUCACCGCUCCCGACCUCGAGAGAGAAGGUGGCAGCAGCAGCAGUGGGAAAGAAGAACGUCUUUUCCUGCCUCUGUGAUUGUCUCUGCCCUUCGAAUCUCUAGGGUUUGGCUUUGGUUUGGCUUUGGCUCCGUUAGCUCUUGAGAGGGGAGCGUUUACAUGUGGAGGCAACAAGGAGGGGUGGCUUUGAGAAGAUAGUUGCAGAGAAGAAAUGGAGGGAAGUGGGAGGUGUUUUCAUGUUCUCCCCAACACAACAAGUGCUUCGUUUGUGCUGAGGAAACACCAUUCAACCCUUCUCUGCCAUUACGAGCAGGCUGAUGCUGAUGGCAACUGAACCAUAGACUAUGAUGAGUUCAUCGCAGCAACAAUGCACUUGAACUGGAUGGAUAGAGAACAUCUCUACACUACCUUCCAACACUUCGAUAAAGACAGCAGCAGGUAUAUCACGAUGGGAGAACUAAAGUCAAGAAAUACGGCAUGCAUGGUGAAUUUUAAUCUUUCCAGGGGUUUCGCUACCAGAGGUUACACAGCUAUGCAGAGGGUUACAUAGUGGAACUUGGAUGUUAUAGCUCACAGCAAGCAGGGUGUUAGUUUUUUAAAAUGAAGUAAAUCUCCAUGUUUGAAAUCUCAGACUGGCCCUUUGACUUUUGAGCUGGGGAAUUACAAUCAAAUGAUGAAUCUUCAGUUUACUUGGGAAAAGCAGUGGAUUCUCAAGAGGGGCUUCAAUGUACAGAAGAAUUACAAGACGUCAUCAACAUGGAAGAUGGCUAGCUAGGAUUGGAAAGGUUGCUGGAAAUAAGGAUCUCUAUCUUGGGCAUUCAAGACAAACGCGCAAAAAAUUGAUGACAUCCUAUAAAAUUGCCAGAAAAAAGGUCCUUUCCAACUAAUGCAAAACCAGACUUCUUUCCCAGCAGAAAAACACUAGGCAAGUGAUUUUGGUCUUCCAUUCACAAAUAUCAGAGGCAUUUUCACGGUUACAGAUGUGCACACCACAAGCCAAGGACAGGCUGCGCCGGGAUGUCACACACAUUCUUGGAUGCAUUCGAGCUUUGCCGUCUGAUAAAAUGAGCGAAUCUAGUAUUCCAAAAUGGGGUCAGCUAGAUGAAUUCUUGGUGCAGAGAUUUGGCUCUGAAGCUGGUUAAUGUUGUUGUAAAGUAGUGAAUCGGUUGCUUCUUUGGAGAUGGCUAAUCAAAAUUUUUGGAUGUCAGAACCAAUUUCGGUGGUCUAUGCAUUUUCCUUGUACAAUUUCAUUGAAGUAACUUUCGGUCCAUAUUCUCUAUUUAUCGUGUCAUGUUCGUGCCGCAUAAAUUACUUUCGUCCAAACUUCAGUGCUCUCUCUUUCUAAACACUCAUGCACCGUCUAUUUUUUCUUUUAGCUUACCAGAAGUCUUUAAUUUUCAGGUUUUGCAUUUUUUCUGAGAUGUACAAAGUCAGUGUAUCAGAUCCAAAUAUUGCGAGAAGAAGGUUGUCGAAGCCAGAAUGUUUGUUCUGUUGCGGUCACGCUCGAAUUACCAUUUGUAUUUACUAGGACUCAAAUCAAUGUUUUUUUGUAAUUUUUGAGUUAAAGGAUGACGACGAUUGAUUUUUUAUUUUUUUUUGCUUAGUGAGGGGACAACGAGCAGUAUCGGCUUUUGAAUUCUCAACUUCCGUUGCCGGAAUCACAUCUGAUUGUAUCAAUACUUGAGUUAUUUGCAUGAAUGCCGUUCUUAAAUGGUAAAAGGAUAAGAGCUUGUUUUUCCUGUACC